CCUACGGGUGGCUGCAGUGGGGAAUAUUGCACAAUGGGCGCAAGCCUGAUGCAGCCAUGCCGCGUGUGUGAAGAAGGCCUUCGAGUUGUAAAGCACUUUCAGCGGGGAGGAAGGCGGUGAGGUUGAUAACCUCAUCGAUUGACGUUACCCGCAGAAGAAGCACCGGCUAACUCCGUGCCAGCAGCCGCGGUAAUACGGAGGGUGCAAGCGUUAAUCGGAAUUACUGGGCGUAAAGCGCACGCAGGCGGUCUGUCAAGUCGGAUGUGAAAUCCCCGGGCUCAACCUGGGAACUGCAUUCGAAACUGGCAGGCUAGAGUCUUGUAGAGGGGGGUAGAAUUCCAGGUGUAGCGGUGAAAUGCGUAGAGAUCUGGAGGAAUACCGGUGGCGAAGGCGGCCCCCUGGACAAAGACUGACGCUCAGGUGCGAAAGCGUGGGGAGCAAACAGGAUUAGAUACCCCUGUAGUC
rnacentral:rRNA from 1 species